CAACGUGUGGCUUGGAUGUCCCACAGUUCCCUUGGACCGGUUCCACCAUCUCGGGCGUAGACCGCCGCUAGACCCCCACCCCCUCCCGUCCCCUGCCGGCCACGGCCACCCCCAUCGCCCACGCCGCCGGCGUCACGCUCCCUCCGGCCCUUACCCAGGCAGGAAUCCUGAACCCGUGGGCCGUGGCGCUGCUAUGCGGAGAAGAGAGUUCUAGCUGCCGGCGUCCAGUGGGCUCGGCGAGGGCAGCGGUCCUCGAGGCCGAGGGCGGAGAGGCGCGGGCAAGGGUUAAUACUGUCACCGAGCUCCAGGCGGCGUCCCGCGGGUCGGCGAGGGAGCCGCAGCGACCAACCGGCUCCUGGGGCGGUUUUUCCAUUUGUGCGCAGUUGACUUAUUGAUGGAGCUAGCUGGGUAGUGGGUAGAAAUGGAUAGCAGUCAAGAUUUCCAAGAAGAGAGGCAUCAGAGAAGGGAGAAUGGUGAAGAGACAGAAAAGGCAGCUGAUUAUGGAAAUGCUUUGAGUCGCAAGGAGGCAACAGAAGAGCUCCUUGGUUGCGUAGUCCAUAGUGAGGAAGAGGCAUACAGAUUGUACUGUGACUAUGGGCAUCGAAUUGGUUUUAGUGUGCGGAAGGGCAAACAGUCGUACUUUAUCGGUACCAAGAAUAUUCGAACAAAGGACUACUACUGCUCAAAGGAAGGGCUUAAGUAUGAUGAACCUGUUACAGAAGCAAAUUUCAAUCGACCAGACACAAGAACUAAUUGCAAAGCAAUGAUCCGCUUUAGAGUUGACGAGAAGGGGCAAUGGACAGUUAUACGCUUUGUUCCUGUGCAUAAUCACCAAUUGGCGAAACCUGGGGAAAGGCACAUGCUGAGGUCAGCCAAGUCGCUAGCUGUUGGCAAAUCAGGUGCCAUAGUUCCAUCAACAUCUACAGAGUCACAUCCAAUAAAUGGUUUCUCUGACAUGAUCGAAGGCGGUACACCUGAAAGUUCAGGGUAUACUAUAAGGGAGUGUUACAAUCAAGUGGGCAUCCAGGGUGUAACAGUAAUUGAGGCUGGAGACGGCCAAAACCUUGUUAGUUAUUUCAAGCGUAGAACCAACGAGGAAGGCAUGUUCUAUUGGGAUGUCCAAGUUGAUCAAGAAGGGCGUAUGACUAACUUCUUCUACAGAGAUGGUAAAUGUAGAAAUGAUUAUGACUGCUUUGGAGAUGCUAUUAUAUUUGAUACAACCUACCGCAUCAAUAAAUAUAACUUGAUAUGUGCUCCAUUUGUUGGUGUUGACCACCACUGGCAGAAUGUUGUUUUCGGCUGUGCAUUCUUGUUAGAUGAGUCUGUAGCUUCCUAUGCCUGGGUAUUUAAAUCGUUCUUGGAGUCGAUGGGAGGCCAAUCACCAAAAUCAAUAUUCACUGAUCAGGAUGAAGCUAUUAUGCAGGCAAUUGAGCAGGUUUUCCCUAACACACAACAUUGCUUUUCCUACUGGCAUAUUCUGAAGAAUGCACAAUCUCAUUUAGGCUCACUAAAUACGUCGCAAGCAUUUCAAACUUUGUUUACCAAGUGUAUGCAAGGAUCUGACUCAGAAGAGGAUUUUGAGGAAUCAUGGACUGCAAUGCUUCGUGAAUACAAACUACAGGAUAAUAGCUGGCUGAUUGACCUUCAUAGGUUUCGCCAUAAAUGGUGCUCAGCAUUUAACAAAGAUACAUUUGAUGGUGGGAUUAAUUCUUCUCAGUGGGGGGAGGUUUCAAAUAAUAUUCUCAGUGGAAUUUCUGAUGAAAAUACCUCUCUUACACGUUUUGCCCUCUUACUAGAAAAGGUUGUCAAGGAUCUACGUAGAAAUGAAUCUGAAGAGGAUUUUCGCUGUAGCCAAACUGCUCCAGUACGAGCAGUUAAGCAUAGUACAGUUCUGAAGCAGACUGCAGAAUCAUAUACACAUCGGAUCUACAAAUUAUUUGAGGCAGAAUUUCUGGAUGGAUGUGGAGCAACUUCAUGCCAUGAAACUUCAAGUGGUGGAAAUUUAUUGAGGUUUGAAAUUACGAUGCAGGGGCGAGGUUCAAAAGUAUGGGCUGUUGCUCUUGACACUUCCACCAUGGAGAUCACUUGUGCUUGCAGAAAAUUUGAAAGGAUGGGUCUUCUUUGUUCACAUGCCCUCAAAGUCUUCACCCUGCAGAAUGUGGACACAAUUCCAGAAAAAUAUGUUUUGCAACGCUGGACAAAAGAUGCCAGGAGAAGCAUGUAUAAACUUACUCAAGAUGAUUCAACCCAACAGGAAUGCACAGAGGCUGAGCUUGCAUAUCGCAAUCGGGCAAUGCAGUAUGCAUAUAACCUAAUUAUUAAGAGCCAGGAAUUGGAGGAAUCAAGAAAAAUAUUCUGGGACUCCCUUGAAACUGGAGAGAAGGCACUGGAAGUAUUCUUUGAAAUGAGAAGCAUGCGCAGUCAAGCUGCCAAAGAUGCUAGUAAUAAAGAGAAAAAGAAGAGAAAACCAACAAAAGGACCAAGCUCAAAAAAGGCAAAACAAGCCCCAGCAGCUUCCUCAACUGACCUGGAGCUAAGUGUCCAAACUAAUGAGCAUCAAUAUCAAUCUUCACAAGAUGCUCAGGGUAAUGCAACAAUUGGAAGGCCAUAUUACUAUCAGGCUUUUCCUACUUCCCCUAUCCAACCAAACCAGAUGUAUAUGCAUCCGAAUAUGCACACAAUGCCCCUGUGCACACCACAGGCACUGCAGUGCUACAGUAACUUCGGGGGCGGCACAUUUCUAACUCCUCCAUGACAGCUCAUUUCCGAGCUGUUAUGGUUCCCAUGGUUCAAAUCCUUGAUAGUUGGAUGACAGCUUUGUUGUGCGAGAGAGAACAGUGAGGAUGAAAUGGGUGAGUUGGGCACACGAUUUCUGAAGGUGAAUUUGAAGUGGACGAGUUCACCAUAUAUAUGGGCCUCAAGGGCAACCAACAGCUGGCAGUAGCAACACUCUUCACAGAAACACAAUUGUGGUGGGAAAGAUGCAACAAUGUUGCCCCCCCCCCCCCUCCCCCAGACAUUGUAGCCACUGAGCUCUUGUCUGCUGAAGCAAGUUGGUGUCUGUUGAAUAUCGUCACAUGACAUUUUGUCCUUCACAAAUGGAAAAAGGCCUACAUAAUUUUGCCAAAAAGAAUAUUUACCCCCAGAUCGUAAACUCCAAUUUUGAACUUGUGGGCUAUGCAGAAGAUGCAUGGCUUGGUAAAUCAGUUCAGGGGCCUUCUGUAGAAAAUAAUACUAUUGAUGUCACUGAAAGUUUAAUGCACGAUACACUGUUUGCAAGACCUUGAGAGACAACAGAAGCACACAAAGAUGCAGACAAUACAAACUGUAGCACAUAUAUGGGCAUGGAGUUUCUUUUUUCUCGAACGCUAUGGGCACGGAGUGUAGCUAGGCAUUAUUGAUGCAGGUGUCACUCUCUGAACUUAUUCGCCCUUGUUUUUGUUAUGUCCAGCAGGAUCAUUUGUCUGCAUAUGCUGCAGUACGGUCCAAUUCAAAUUUUGCUGGUGCAAAGAACAUCUGAAGGAUACUAAGGUUCCUGUGGUGUGUUGCUGGAAAACCUUUUUCAGGGAAUGCUGCUACCGACUCCAGCUUGAACUCUGUCAACUGUUUAUCAAGGCCUUGGCGGUUAAAUGAUUGGUGGAGUUUGGGGGAAUGCCGCUAUCCUGCCUGCCACCGCACCUGUUCUUCUGCAUAGAGCAGUGGCUUGCUAUUAUGUCUCAGGCGCUUGCUAUUAUGUCUCAGGCAGGCAAUUCUAGGCUUGUAAAUUGUAAGUCAUGUGAGAGCGAGAGUUAGGUCAUAUUACAUCAUUUCUGCAGGAUCGGAAUCCAGCUGCAAAAUAUACAGAUGCAGGGACCGAUUCUCUUGUGCAAAAAGAUGUCCCAACUCCAACACAAGGCCAUCAGAUGGCACCAGGCACCUGCUCAGCUCGCCUCCUGGGCCUUGACAUGUGGCGGCGUUCUUACCGACGGAGAACUCCAUUCCUGCAUGAGUUGAGCUUGAGCAGCAGGAUCACUGUAAGGCGGAGCAAGAGCAGGGCGAGGAGGAUCUGGCUGCCAGCGCUGGCCGGGGAGCACCAGGGCCGGGCCAGCAUGGGCUGCGCAUCCGAGCUGACGCUGACUUGUCUUUUGGGUAUGGAUUCUGAAUUGUAGUGUAACUGCUGUGCUGGCCACCUGUUGGUGUAAUGUAAUUUGUUGUGACCCUUACUCAUAGACGAUGGGACGAGGAGAAAAACUGAUCCCGGGAACACGAGACGGCAUCUGGUCUUGGGACGCUUUC